AUACGUAGGGGGCGAGCGUUGUCCGGAAUGAUUGGGCGUAAAGGGCGCGUAGGCGGCCCGGUAAGUCUGGAGUGAAAGUCCUGUUUUUAAGAUGGGAAUUGCUUUGGAUACUGUCGGGCUUGAGUGCAGGAGAGGUAAGUGGAAUUCCCAGUGUAGCGGUGAAAUGCGUAGAGAUUGGGAGGAACACCAGUGGCGAAGGCGACUUACUGGACUGUAACUGACGCUGAGGCGCGAAAGUGUGGGGAGCAAACAGGAUUAGAUACCCUGGUAGUCCACACUGUAAACGAUGAAUGCUAGGUGUAGGGGGUAUCGACCCCUUCUGUGCCGCAGUCAGCACAAUAAGCAUUCCGCCUGGGGAGUACGGCCGCAAGGUUGAAACUCAAAUGAAUUGACGGGG
rnacentral:rRNA from 1 species